UACGGAAGGGGCAAGCGUUGUUCGGAAUCAUUGGGCGUAAAGGGCGCGUAGGUGGUUCUGUAUGUCUACCGUGAAAGCAUACAGCUCAACUGUAUUUUGUCGGUAGAAAACUGCAGGACUUUGAGGCUGGGAGGGGCUGGUGGAAUUCCCUGUGUAGCGGUGAAAUGCGUAGAGAUGGGGGGAGAACACUCGUGGCGAAGGCGGCCAGCUAGACCAGUUCUGACACUGAGGCGCGACAGCGUGGGGAGCGAACAGG
rnacentral:rRNA from 1 species